rnacentral:sRNA from 1 species
AUUGGUUCAGAGAAUCUACGACCUGUUUAACAGAUCCGUCUGUGAUAAAAAGCUGCCAGAGAAACUACGCAUAGGCUGGAAUAACAAGAUGGUGAAAACUGCUGGCUUAUGCAGCACUGGUGAGAUAUGGUACCCAAAGUGGCGGCGCUUUGCCAAGAUCCAGAUUGGCUUGAAAGUCUGCGACUCUGCAGACCGAAUCCGGGAUACCUUGAUCCAUGAAAUGUGCCAUGCUGCCUCCUGGCUGAUUGAUGGUAUCCAUGAUUCUCAUGGUGACGCAUGGAAGUAUUAUGCCAGGAAAUCCAACAGGAUACACCCGGAGCUGCCCAGGGUCACCCGUUGCCAUAACUAUAAGAUUAACUACAAGGUCCAUUAUGAAUGUACUGGAUGCAAAAUGAGGUAAGACUCUUCUCAGACUUUUCCCAGUUACGUUUUGCUGGGGCCUCCAAGUGGCUCUUCAGUGAUUUUAUAAGUAGAUGGCUGUCUGAACUGAGGAGGAGAACCUCUCUCCUCCUUUCCACGUUCUCUUUCUCCUUUCUCUUCCGUAAUUUGAGCCGGCCUGACCACUGCUGCCGCUUGGUGCCCGGGUCUCUGACAACCCAGAGAAAAUUAUUGCUUUGGGCCCAAGGCUAACAUCUCAGAGCUGAUGCUGAGGUGCAGUGACUGAUUCUUUUGUUGUGUGUUGUUCCAUUCC